UGGUGUUACUGCGAAGGGGGGACGGAGAAGGCUAUGUUAGCCGGGCGACGGUUGUCCCGGUUUAAGCAUGUAGGCUGGUUAUCCAGGCAAAUCCGGAUAAUCAAGGCUGAGGUGUGAUGACGAGGCACUACGGUGCUGAAGUAACAAAUGCCCUGCUUCCAGGAAAAGCCUCUAAGCAUCAGGUAACAUCAAAUCGUACCCCAAACCGACACAGGUGGUCAGGUAGAGAAUACCAAGGCGCUUGAGAGAACUCGGGUGAAGGAACUA
rnacentral:rRNA from 1 species